rnacentral:rRNA from 1 species
UGAGGAAUAUUGGUCAAUGGGCGAGAGCCUGAACCAGCCAAGUAGCGUGCAGGAUGACGGCCCUAUGGGUUGUAAACUGCUUUUAUAAGGGAAUAAAGUGAGUCUCGUGAGACUUUUUGCAUGUACCUUAUGAAUAAGGACCGGCUAAUUCCGUGCCAGCAGCCGCGGUAAUACGGAAGGUCCGGGCGUUAUCCGGAUUUAUUGGGUUUAAAGGGAGCGUAGGCCGGAGAUUAAGCGUGUUGUGAAAUGUAGACGCUCAACGUCUGCACUGCAGCGCGAACUGGUUUCCUUGAGUACGCACAAAGUGGGCGGAAUUCGUGGUGUAGCGGUGAAAUGCUUAGAUAUCACGAAGAACUCCGAUUGCGAAGGCAGCUCACUGGAGCGCAACUGACGCUGAAGCUCGAAAGUGCGGGUAUCGAACAGGAUUAGAUACCCUGGUAGUCCGCACGGUAAACGAUGGAUGCCCGCUGUUGGCCUGAAUAGGUCAGCGGCCAAGCGAAAGCAUUAAGCAUCCCACCUGGGGAGUACGCCGGCAACGGUGAAACUCAAAGGAAUUGACGGGGGCCCGCACAAGCGGAGGAACAUGUGGUUUAAUUCGAUGAUACGCGAGGAACCUUACCCGGGCUUGAAUUGCAGAGGAAGGAUUUGGAGACAAUGACGCCCUUCGGGGCCUCUGUGAAGGUGCUGCAUGGUUGUCGUCAGCUCGUGCCGUGAGGUGUCGGCUUAAGUGCCAUAACGAGCGCAACCCCUCUCCUUAGUUGCCAUCAGGUCAUGCUGGGCACUCUGGGGACACUGCCACCGUAAGGUGUGAGGAAGGUGGGGAUGACGUCAAAUCAGCACGGCCCUUACGUCCGGGGCUACACACGUGUUACAAUGGCAGGUACAGAGAGACGGUCCCUUGCAAAAUGGAUCAAAUCCUUAAAGCCUGUCUCAGUUCGGACUGGGGUCUGCAACCCGACCCCACGAAGCUGGAUUCGCUAGUAAUCGCGCAUCAGCCAUGGCGCGGUGAAUACGUUCCC